CCCUUAGAUGUUCUGGGCCGCACGCGCGCUACACUGAUGCAUUCAACGAGUUUCUUCCUGGUCCGAGAGGAAUGGGUAACCUUUUGAAAGUGCAUCGUGAUAGGGAUAGACUAUUGCAAUUAUUGGUCUUCAACGAGGAAUUCCUAGUAGACGUAGUUCAUCAGACUGCAUCGAUUACGUCCCUGCCCGUUGUACACACCGCCCGUCGCUCCUACCGAUUGAAUGCUCAGGUGAGCCAUUCGGACCUUCAUCAUGCCGGUUUCCGGUUUUGAUGAGGGAAAGUCUUGCGAACCUUAUCAUUUAGAGGAAGGAGAAGUCGUAACA
rnacentral:rRNA from 1 species